CUGCAGGCCGCCGGUGGGGUCCCGACCUUGAAAGGAAGCGUCAGUGAGCUGUACCUUGGGCCUCUAGGGAAUGAAACGCCGAUCAGGAUUUAUGGGGUGAGCUUACCUCCUGGAGAGCUUUAUGGGAAUUACCACCUCCUUUUUUUAUUGUAGUUACUUAAAAAAAAAAAAUUCCGUUGCGCCCCCCCCCCAUAAAUCAUAUUUUACAAGUUAAAGGAUUGAAGAUGGAAAAGACUGCUCCCCAGUGAGCUAGACACCAAAUGCCCUGUUUCGCAUUCUUUUGAUUUAGAGAUGUGUGCCGACAUAUUUAAGGGUGAAAUGAUAAACCCGGAAUUUGCUUCAGAACAAAGGAGAUUCAGAAUAAUGGACAUAGAGAAAUGAAACAUUAUUGGCCAUGAAUAGUGACUGUCGAAGCUGUGGUAGUUCUCAUGGCUAUUCUCGGUACUUUUGUACAUGUUAGAAAUCUUCCAUAAUAAUAAAACUUAAAAAAAAAAAAAGGCCACUUCCUUUUUGAUGUUUGUUUGGUCAUCUUUGGAAAUUCCAGGUAUUUUUAUUCAGCAACAGCCGUAAUAUGCACAGCGCAAUUUCCUGCUGUGUAGCGUUUACCAGGCACUUUACUGCCUCUUGAUUUUUCCCUUCACUGCCUUCUUUUUUUGCGUGUCAUGUCCUGUAGACCCCUUCAUUUUGCCCAUUUUCCCUGCUAAACUUGUGAAUGAUUUCUGGAACUUUCACAGCAGUAUAAGGAUUUUAAAUAUUUAUUCUUCAUGUGGAAACUCUAGGGGCGCCUGCGUGGCUCAGUUGGUUAAGCCCCUGACUUUGACUCAGGUCAAGAUCUCUGGGUUCCCAGUUUGAGCACCAGGAGGAACUCUGUGCUGACAGGUCAGAGCCUGGAGCCUGCUUCGGAUUCUGUGUCCCCCUCUCUCUCUGCCCCUUUCCUGCUCAUACUCCUCUCUCUCUCUCUCUCCAAAUAAAUAAACAUUAAAAAAUUUUUUUAAUAAAAUAUUGCAUUAUAACCACUUAUGAGUCAUAUUGUACAAAUUAUGAAAUGUAAGUCACAAGAAGGCUGACAGCCAGUGAGCUAGAAGUGCUUUGGUUCCCAUUUCAUUGCUUACCUUUUAUAUUAGCUUGCUUCUCCUAAACUGGUUCACUAUUUACCUCUCAAAAGGAAAACUAUUCUGGAUCUCCAUGUUGAUUUAAAUUAUUGUUUCACAGGGGCACUUUGCUGGUUCAAUCGGGAGCACGUGACUCUUGAUCAUGAGUUUGGGCCCCAUAGUGGAUGUAGGGAUUACUAAAAAAUAAACUUAAAAAUAAAAAAUUUGUUUAAAAAAUUAAAUUACGGUAUUAUAAAUUUACCUAUAUAUAUAUGUACGUGACACUACUAUGCACAUAAGCUGUUCUUGUAGGCCUCAUACAACUAAAACCAAAAUAUAUCACAAAUUAAAUACAUAACAAACUUAUUACAAAUGGAUGAUACUAGUAAGACAUGGAGUCUGAAUCUGGUAUACAUGCUUUCUCUUGAUUCCAUUAGGGCCUUCUCUGACCCUAGGUUAAGUCUCCAUGAUACCUUCCUUAUAGAUGCCUGCCUCCAUUUUCAUUAUCACAUUUACCACCAGAUUAUAACCUCCAUAGAUGUAGAAACCUGCCCUUCCCAACUUGUUUGAUUCGACAGCUUUCGCUGAUAUAUGGAAGGCAUUCAAUACUUGGAAACUGAAUGAAAAUGUUGCACAUAGUACAAAUAUUUGGACUCUGAAGGGGUUGUAUGUCUCUGGUUGGAUUAUGCUUUUAUAAACAUGUGUAUCUGUGAGAGCGCUUUUGGAUACGAGUAACAGGAAACCUAACUGAAGGAAAUUAAACAGUAAUGAGUUCAUUAUGUCACAUGAAAAUAAUUCCAAAGGUAGAACAGUUCCAAGAUUAGGUAAUUCAGUUACUCAAGGAUGUCCUUAAAAACUUGAGAGCCUUCCCAUCUUUCUACUCAACCAUUCAGGAGCUGUGACUCCUGUUAUGGUCACAAGGUGGCUGUAGCAGUUCCAAAUAUCAUGUGCAGAUUACAACCUUCCCAGGAAGAAAAAGAACUCUUUCCUUUCAGGGGUCUCAGAUGUUCCUCCAGCAGACUUCUUUUUUCUCAUUGGCAUACCCAUCAUGGUAGUUAAGAGAACAGGCUCUAGAAUGAGACUGCUGGUUCAGACCCUAUCACUACUGCUUUCUAGCUGUGUGACUUUGGGCAAGUGAGUCUCUCCAGUGUUCUGUUUAGUAAUAGUACCGUCCUCAUUGCUUUAUGCUGGGAAUAAAAUGAGUUAAUAACUAUGAAAUUCUUUUUAAAGUACUGAGCAUGGAGUAAGUGCUCAGUAAAUGUUAGCUUGGAUGUCUUCCGUAAUGGAAUAACAUCUGUGGAGUUCACAGUUCACAGAGAAGGUAUAUAUCUCAUUGGCGUCUAAUAGUCCCAGCAAGGACUUAGCAGAUAUCCCUAAUUUCUGUUACCUACAGGCCAAGAGUGCAAAGAGUAAUGUUUAAAACAUUAGGGAUCAGAGCUAAAGGAGUUAGUCUAGCCUGUUAACACUUCCUUGAAGAUGAUACAGAAAGUAAAUGCUUUCAACAGUCAUUCCACUGCCAGUAAGUGUAAUACCUCUUUGUUCAACCAUCCAAAAAGUCUGUUAAUGUCCAGCAUGAUUUUGGCUUAUCCUUAACCCAAAUAAUUCUCAAGUGAAAACAUUAGGAUUAAUCUUCUUCACACCUGGUAAUGUGAGUUCAUUUCUAGAGCCACCCCACUCAUAAAGUAAUCUAAUGCACAACUAUUCUUCCCAGAGUCUUUAGGAUAGAAUUGUGGGGGCUCUUUGAAAAAUCGCUACUCUCAAAGCCAUUGUUUCUAGGCACAGACCAACAUGGAUGCCAGUGAUGUUAAAUGUUAGUUACCUAACCCCAUAGGCUUGAUUGAAAUUGGCUUGAUUACAUACUGUAAUGAAUAUUAUGGCUGCCUGGUUAGACAUAUCCCAUGAUUCUAAGUUAGUGCUACUACCUUAAGCCCAGGGAAGUUGGCCCUAACUAUAGUGAUCAACCAUUUGAGUAAAAAAUGUGUGUGGGUUUGGGGUGGGGAGGUGGUGGGUAAGGGGAAAUGAGGGACUGGGAGCUAGGAGAACUGGGAUAAAGUUGAGGGGAAUGACCAAAAGUGGGAACUUGUGCUCUGCCAUUUCUAUGAUUUCUUCUCCAUUUAAACCAACAUAAACAGGCUCUAGUGAGGACAUAGUAUGAUGAAAACCAUGAGCUUUGUAGUCAGAGGGACUUAGGAUUGCAAUUCUGACUUCAUCUCUUACUAGAUUCUGCGAAGCUUUGGUCCUCAAUUUCUUCAAGUAUAAUUAGAACAUUAAAUCAUUCUCUUAGGUCACAUCAUACUUAUUAAAGCAGCCUCAGGCACUUUAUAGUAUGUUCUGCCUCCCACAUGGCCUACUCUAACCAUAUUGACUGGCCUCAGGUUUUCUAACAUAACAUGAAGCGUAGGUCCAGUCUUGUUUUGAGGGAAGAAGAGGGACUGAGUCAAAACUCAAAGGAAGGAGGAAAAAGAGAUAAGGCUAUUGCUGGAUGAAUAAGAAAGAGUUUUCAAGAGAGAAAGGAAUAAAGGUCCUUCAAGUAGGAAAUUUGAGGGUGCAAAAAGUGUGAUAUAGUCACAUUCGUACACUGAAGUGUUAGACCUGCUUCAUGCUGUUGCACUGUGAGGUGAGGGGGGAUAUUAGAAUAAUGAACAACUUCUUCAUGAUCUUUCCAAAUUCUUCUCAAGUUAAUCUGGGAUAUGUGGGACCAAAAGGGAAAAUGAAAAUCAAAACAGCCACUAACUUAGCUAUACAAACCUCAAGAAUAGACUGUCUAAAAAAAUAAUAAGCAGAAUGUCACCUAAACCAUUACCAGAUUCAAGUCGCUUGUUACUAAGGAAAUUUAUCCUAAGGAAAUAACUAGGAAAGUCUACAAAGUUGUACAAACAAAUAUGUUCAUCACAGCGUUAUUCAUAAUACUGAAAUCUUGGAAGCCAUGUAAAUGAUCAUCAUCAACAGAAUUGAUUAAACAAAUUACAGUACAACCAUACAAUGGGAUGUCGCUCUACAAAUUUAAAAGUAAUAACAAAGAUCAGUAUUUAUUUUAAAGGAAAGAUGCCCAUGAUGUGUUAAGUUUAAUUUUUUAAAUUUUUUAAAUUUUACAAAACAUCAUGUGUAACAUGACCACACUUUUUGUAUGUGCAUAGAAAAAAAUAUGGGAAAGUUACAUAUCAAAAUGGUAACAAGAGGGGGCACCUGGGUGGCUCAGUCAGUUAAGUGUCCAACUCUUAAUCUUAGCUCAGAUCUGGAUCUUGGUGUCAUGAGUUCAAGCCCCGCGCUGGGCUCUGUACUGGGCGUGAAGCCUGCUUAAAAAAAAAAAAAAUAGGGGCUCCUGGGUGGCUCAGUUGCUUGACCAUCCAACUUUGGCUCAGGUCAAGAUCUCACAGUUCGAGGGUUGGAGCCCCCUGUCAGGCUUUCUGCUGAGCCUCCUUAGAAUCCUCUAUCCAACCCCCCUUCUCAGCCCCUCCCCCCACUUGUCCUCUCUCUCUCCCCUCUCUCUCAAAAAUAAAUAAACAAAAAAAAUGUUAAUAAGAGUUCUCUCUGGGUGUUGAAAUAUAAGGUAAUUUUAAUUUUUUAGACCUUUUGUAUUACCAAUUUAUUUCAAUUAACAUGUGUUAUUUUUAUUGCAAGAAAAUAAAGCCGUGUUCAUUUUUAGAAACAGGGUACUAAAGGAAAUAUAAAAGUGAAAAAAUUGAUAACUCUCUUUUAUACUCACUUCUUUUUAGUGAGUUGGUCUACUCUUCAGAGUAGAAUUCCUUAUACUGCUAUUAAUUCAAGUUUUAAUUUAGGGCAUCAGUGAGUGUGGACUGGGAAGAGGGAAAUGAGCCAGUUCUUAGGAUCUUUGGGCAGUUUUAAUUUUAGGCAGAAGAAACAGCUCUGGACUCUCCCACAAAGCUGUUCCUUAAAAUUCCUGUGCAAAUCUGAACUCAUUUCUUCCUUGACCAGUCACAAAAAGAUUCAUAUAAAAUUUCUUUAAAUAGCGAAUUCUCCUUGCUCAUAUAAAAUACUCCUUGACUAAGAAAUAUUAUAUUGCAGCUAAGUAGUUCAUUUGCUUCAUGUACUUGUGUGGUAUGGUAUAAACAGCCUGAGCUGUGUAAUGAAAGAGUAACCCGAGCAGGGUGAAAUUGGUUAGAAAAGUCUUUCAUUCAUUCAUGUGCUGUACAAAUAUAUUUUCAGCCCCAAUUAUCUUCAGCACUGAAGAUACAUAGAUGGAAGACCGUAGUCCCUUCUUGGGAAGACCUAACACACUGCAUAAUACAGAGUAUGUGUGCAAGAUGAAAUGGGAGCUUGGAGGAAGGGGUGCCAAAGUCUUCCUGGGGCAGUUCAUGCCAGGCAGAGACUGGAAGGCUACAUAGGAAUUGCCAUAAAUAGUUUCUUGGGGAUAAGUUUUCACCUGAAAGAAGUGAAAGAUAUGUAUUGUUAGAAAGAAGCUGAAAGAUCAAAGUGGCAAAUAACUAAACUUGUAAACUGAUCCUGCUAAUAAAAAAGCUUAGAGGAGACAUUUCCCUGCUUCUUCAGAAGCCCACUUCCUACCAGGUAAUUUCAGUUCAUAGUAACAAAGACACUUGAUGUUGGUGCUGGGGUCUUCAUUGUCCUUUCUAGAAGCGAGAUGCUUUUGGCAGGGACUUGCACGCUACUGUGUGUUAAUGGUUGUGUGUUAAUGUCAAGAUGCCAUGUGAUAGGGGCACCAGGGUGGCACAGCCAGUUAAGCGCCUGACUUCGGCUCAGGUCAUGAUCUCACGGCUCAUGGGUUCGAGCCCCACAUUGGGCUCUGUGCUGACAGCUCAGAGUCUGGAGUCUGCUUCUGAUUCUGUGUCUCCCUCUCUCCCUCUACACUUCCCCUGCUCAUGCCCAAUAUCUCUCUCUCUCUCUCUCUCUCUCUCUCUCUCUGUCAAAAAUAAAUAUUAGAAGAUGGCAGGUGAUAGAAUUAGAAGAGGUUGUGGUAUUAAGGUGGUAGAAGGACAGGAAUUAAUGCAUGGAUUCUGAGAUAGCCUGAUUCAGUGGGUCCUUGUAUUAGCAUUUUAGAGCAGGAAAGACUGGAAAAGAUCUGGUCCAAUCACCUCACUGUACAGAUUUUUAAAAAGUUACUGAGCUUGCCAAAGAUCUUAAUUGCCUUCUUUAAAAAUAAAUUAUUAAAUGUAAUGUUCAGUGUAAUAGUGCUGGAGUAUAUCUCUGUAAAACUUAAUGGGAAGACUCAUUCCAUCCAUCUGAAUAGCAGAGAAAUAAUGGUCUGUUUUCCGAGCUUUAGCCCAAGUGUGUCUUGUGUUUAUAUAGUCAAAGGUCAAAAGCUGACUAGGAACAGAUGAGCCCUUUCCUUUUACAUCAUUUUUCAACUUUUCAAAGGGCUUAAAAUAAACUAUCAUUUUCCAUUAUUUACUUAAGGGAUUUGUUUUGCAGAAUUUGUAGCUCUUGGGAACCCCCCUGUCGUUCUUAUGAAGUACACAAUCUGAUUCUUACUCAUCUAUCAACAUCCAAGGAAUGUUAGUAUUAAUAUGUAUGGUUUAAAUCACCCAAAACAGAAUAAGAAGGCUGAAUUGGCUAGUAAUGUUUAUGACUUUCCAUAAAUAUCUUAUGUGUAUAGACUCAGGAAAUCACUCUUCCUUGAGAUAGAGGAAAUGAUAGAGAUAGAGAUAUAGACAUGGCGGGGGUGGGGGUGGCAGGGAGGAGGAAGAAGAGGAAGAGAGGAGAGACAGAGAGAGAGAGAGACAGAGUGAGAGAGAGAGAGAGGAAAGAAUGAGAGCAUGUACGUCAGUUCUGAGACCAAGGAUUAAUUUCUCUGAAUAAAAGCACUUCCUUUUGUAACCAGCAUUUCAUCUGACACAUUCUUAAAAACUACUGCAAUCCUAGACUUCUAAGGGCGUACAAAAAAUUUGUAGCUGACCUUGUGUAGACAAAGGUUUGCACUAAUUUUUACAUGGAUUCAUUCUUCUGCUGAACUCCAACUUGAAAUCUCUGUGAGACGCUACUCCCCAGAAUACAUCCAGCACUCAAAUCCUUGCUAGUCAACCUCUAAAUGAAACUAAAUUCUAAAUUCUACCUUUACAAUGCCUGUGCUACAGAGAUUCAGUCAGACGUAUUAGCAAGUGGAGCUUUUACUGGAGACAGUCUCUAUGUGUCCACAUUAUAGGUUUUCCCAGAUUAGUAUUUUGAAAGGUAUCAUUAAAAAAAAGAUAAUCAGGGGCGCCUGGGUGGCGCAGCCGGUUAAGCAUCCGACUUCAGCCAGGUCACGAUCUCGCGGUCCGUGAGUUCGAGCCCUGUGUCGGGCUCUGGGCUGAUGGCUCGGAGCCUGGAGCCUGUUUCUGAUUCUGUGUCUCCCUCUCUCUCUGCCCCUCCCCCGUUCAUGCUCUGUCUCUCUCUGUCCCAAAAAUAAAUAAACGUUGAAAAAAAAAUUAAAAAAAAAAAAAAAGAUAAUCAGAGCCAACAUAGGGGAAUGCCUUGUUGACAUUCAUUUAAUCAAAUAUUUGUUUAGUAUUUCUGCAAUAGUAAACUUCCCCAUGGCCCCAUGACUGCUUGCUAAAUUGGCAUAACAUUUUGUUAAAUGUGUAACCUGGGGGGAAAAAUACUAAGAGGAACAAAACUUGUCAUUCACUAAACCAUUCCUCGAUCCAUUCAAUGUUUGCCAAGUUCCUUUCAUGGGUCAGGGAAAGGGCAGUAAGUGUUGAAGAUGUCAAGAUAAAGGACACAGUCCGACCCACUCCAAGGAGCUCACAGUCUUGAUAUGAGUACAUGAUUGAGUUCUUAGGUGGAUUUGUCCACUGAAGAGAAUGUACAACUCCAAACUCUCUCUGCUCCCUCUGAAAUCUAAUGUGCUUUUGCUGUGAUGCGGUUUUGCAACUUGUCCUGUUGUUUUAGGAACAAUAAACAUUCAAAAUAAUAAACAUCAUGGAGAACCUACUAUACCAAGUGGUAAGGCAGGCAGACUCAUAAGAUGGCCCCAGUGGUCCCUGCUUCCUUGUAUUCAUGGUCUUAUGUAAUCUCCUUCUGUUAAGUAUGGGCUGGGCUGAAUGACCUGCUUCUCACCAAUAGAAUAUGGCAAAAGUGAUGGGAUGUCACUUCUAUAAUUAGGUUAGAAAAGACUGUGACUUCAGUCACUAGUGCUUUCUUGGUUUGCACAUUUUGGUGAAACAAACUGCCAGAUUGGAGAGGCCUACCUGUGAAGGAACUGAGGGUGGCCUCCAAGCAAGGUCCCUAGUUUACCAGUCUGUGAAGAACUUAAUCCUGCCAACAACCACGUGAGCUUGGAAGCAGAUCCUUCCCCAUUUGGGCCUUCAAAUGAGACAUGAGCCUUGUUGAAAGACCCUGAGAAAGAAGACCCAGGUAAACUGUGCCCAGAUUCUUGAUCACAGAAACUGUAAGAUAAUAAAUCCAUCUUGUUUUAAGUUUAGGGAUAAUUUGCUAUGCAGCAGGAGAUAACUAACAUGGAAAUUAUCCUCACACUUGAGGAGUUGACAGUAUAGCUGAAGUCAGACAAAACACUAUAGCCCAAUUUUUAAAGUAGUGCCAUCUUCAGUAACUUGGCAGAGGUUUAAAUCAAGGACUGGAUGCUGUGAUUCUGGCAUUUCAGUUCUAAUCUCAAGUUGACUUGAUUUCUGUUUUUAUAGGUUUUCCAGCUGGAAAAGCUCUCGAGCAAUUCUGUCCCUUUAUUCCCUGUAUUCUGUCCCUGUAUUCCACCUGAAAAGAAUAAUGAUACACACUGUAAUUGACCAACUGACCUACACAGCCCUUGAGGGUAGGAAGAGUAUUUUACACUUAGUGCUUUUUCACAUGCCCUUUCAUAUAAGGGGAGGGUUCACCAAAUAUGAAUGAUGAACUAUAUUCUCACAAUUAGGAAAAGACCAAAAAACACGUGGAAGACUUAUGCAUUCAUUUCCUGAAAGACCUGAGAAUUCUGGCACAUGUACUGGAAAUAGGAUGGGGUGGGGAGGUGCCAAAGCAGUCGUAUACAGGGCUCUGAUGCACAGUUCAUGAGCCAAACAGAAGAAGCCUUAGAAGACUUCCACAGGUGAUAUUCACCAUGACACUAUAUACUUCCUCCAGAAGCUUUCCAGAAUCACGAAAACAAGAGCCCUGAAGGUUAUUUUUAUUGACAACAGCAGAUGCUGCCUGUGCUCUGCCUAUAACCCCUAGGUACUGGCCAUCACAGUGUAUUCCAGAGCACCCUCCUGCAACUUUCCAUUUGCAGGCUUCAGCCAGAAGUGCAGAUGCAACCUUCAGCUGCUGACAUUUGAAUGGGAGGAAAAAUCCCCAAUCUUCCUUGCCCUGUUUUGAUGGGACGACUCUGAGGUGUGUUCUAUGCUGUCACCCAUAGCCCCCGGUGGCACUGACUCCCAGGCAUUCACAGGGGUAACCUACUCAAUAGCACUUUCUUGGGUCACUCCAAAAUAAACUGCUCGGACUCAAAUCUUUGUCUCAAAGUUGGUUUCUGAGGAAACGUGAUGAACAGUUAAACUAAAAUAGGAUGCUUAAGUUUGAAUCUUGUUGAAUUAAUCCUGCUGAAGCUGUCUUGCUCAAACAUCUCAGGAAAGAACUAGGCCUAACUUUAGUGAAGUGUGAUCCAAUGGGAAGCCUGGGUAGGGAGGGCAGUACUUGGAAGCUGACUUGCUCAUGGGGUUGGAGUGAACACUGGGGACUGAGUUGAGAGAUUUUUUUUUUUUUUAAUGACACAGACUUUCAAUAAAUUUUAGAAUAUUGACAAAUGAAAUAGUCACUAAGAGAGGUGCCUGAGUGGCUCAGUCGGUUAAGCGUCUGACUCUUGCUCUCAGCUCAGGUGUUGAUCUCAGGGUUGUACAAGUUCAAGCCUUUGUUGGACUCCAUGCUGGGCAUGAAGCCUACUUAAAAAAAUAAAAAUAAAAAAAUAAAAAAGUCACCAAUAGCUAUCAAUCAGCCCAGAGCUUGGUUUCUUUCAGCAAAGCUGGGAGAAUGUCUAAGUCAACUCAUCAGGCCCCAGCUCUGCCCCAAGCAAGGUCCAGAAAGGUCCCAGAACUGGUUAUGCUCUUUCUUUGGCCUCUUGACAUCCUAAGCCCUUCCAGCUGUUGAAUGGCAAAAGCCAAAAAUGGGGUCACUUCCAUUGCUGCACCUGGCUCCAGUUAUAAUGACCCAAACCAAGUCCUAAAGGUCCCCAGUAGCACUGGAGAAGUACGGAUGUUUAUUUUUAAAUAAAUUCCUUUUCUUCUGGUUUAAUCAAAAGCUUUUAUAAAGUUUGGUUUUAAACCAUCCGCAAACACACUAAUCUCUGAAGGAUUUGGCAAAGAUGUAUGUGUUUUUCUAUUUCCUGUUUUUUAUUGUACACACAGAUUAACACGGAUUCAAAGAGCCCCCCCCCCCCAAAAAAAAAAGUCCAGCACAAAGGAUACGGCUAAAUACAACAACUACAGUGAGGAAAGGUCUGAAACAGAUUGGACAGUUGCCUCAACAACUACAGUGAGGAAAGGUCUGAAACAGAUUGGACAGUUGCCUCAGACAGAAAACUAACAAAUAACUGUUACUUAAGUGAGUCACAAUUGGAAGUUUCAGUCAUUGUAUGUGGAAGCAAACACAUUUUAGUGUAUGAACCUCUAUUGUGGAGUUUGCAUUUGCCGCUUGGUGUUCGAGAUCCUGCUUCUCCAAGAAUAAAUAGCCUGGUUAAGUACAGUCUUUAACAGACAACCUCCACUUUAUGAGCAAAGUCAGAUCCCAAGUGUUCAUCAAAAGGUGCUGACAGAGGUUAUCGGACAUCUUCUGACAAAGGUCCGCAUCCAAUGGCCAGCACAUGUGAGAGAGUACCAGAGACGGAAGAAAAACCUUUAGAAAUUUUGCUGAGAAAAUGCCGCCCUUUCUUCAAAACAUGUGUGUUCCUUCCUCAUGCUGAGAGAAGCUGUGUGCUUUCCAUGUUUAGAGACGGUCUUUUGGAGGGGAGGGGGGAUUUUUCAGACCAACUUGACCAGCCCCAUGUCUGAUCUGAGUUUUUCUUCAAAAUGCUUUCGAUUUCCUCUUUCAAUGUAAUCUUCAGGCUGAGAGCUGUUUUCCCCUCCCCACCCAAUGGUAUUGGUGCGUAUUUCAGAAACUCUGUGAGUAUCUUGUGGUAUCUGUGAGUGAGAUGGCUCUUCACAGUGGGUCUUCUUUGAGUGGCAUCAUCUAGAUUCAUGCUGGGCAUUCAGUAAGAGCACUACUGAAUGUAAACAGAAGUCAUGAUUGUAAACAGAAAUUGAGGCUGAACACUGCUCAGGGCCCUUACUGCUAUAGCGUGGCUCCACACAAGGACCCUAAAGUUUGUCUUCCUACAGCCCAGACACUGCGAUUCUGCUCAUCUGGUCAGGGUCUGUGACAAGCAGCGAGAGUCUAAGCUCAUUGCUUUUAUGUCUUGCAGUAUGCUUUAUAAAUAUUUUAGUAAAAGUAAUAUGAUAUUCAGAUAAAAUUCAGAUCCAUUUUGCCCCCCUCCUCAAUUACCUUUCUUCAUUUUCUUCCCCAGAUCCUCCCCUGGUAGUGUCUCCAGUGCAUGUAUGUGUGUGUGUCCAUCAUCAAUCUAUACAGUUUUUUUUUUUAAUUUUAAAAUAAUUUGUAUCAUAUGUUUAGAUAUUUCUGCAACCUGGUUUAUUCCCUCUCAGUGGUAUAUUUUUGUGAUCUACUUACAACAUGAAUACAUGGACACCUAGUUCACUUUUUAAUCUGCUAUUCCAAUGUUCUUGGGAAUACAAACUUUAUCUUUCAUUUCAAACCCCUCUGAUGGGUUUCAGAUUGUUCCCAGCUUCUUAUAGCUGUUUCCUAUGCACAUAUUUGCAAGUUUCUCUACAGGAGGACUUUUCUAGGGCACAAGGAAUAUAAUUUUUAGCUUUGCUGUAUGUUGGAGGUUUUUCAAUUUGUGUGUGUGUUUUUUUUUUAACAGUGACAUUUUAGUUUAUUUUUUAUUUUUUAAGUAAGCUCUAUGCCCAACUUGGGGAUUGAACUCACGACCCUGUGAGUUGUACCUCAGGAGUCACGCAUUCCACUGACUGAGCUAGCCAGGCACCCUUUUACUGGAUGUUGUUAAUCUGAUGUCAAAAUAGUUGUAUUUAUUUUCACUUCCAUUAGUAGAUUUUGUAAGUUCCUAUUUUUCAUCUUUCCAACAUCUCAUAUCGUCAGAUCAAACAAUUUGUAGACAAUCAGAGGGAUAUGAAGUGGGAUCUAAUUUAAUUUGUAUUUCUCCCAGUAUAGUGAGGAAGACCAUAUUUUUGUAAAUUUUGCUGGUUUUGUUUUCCUUUUCUGUUUCCUGUGCAUAUUUUUUGCCCAUUUUCAAAACUUGGGGUUUUGUUUUCUUAUUAAUCUUAAUUCCUUGUAUAUCUUAAAUACUUUGUAAUACAUAGUAUGAAUAUCUUCUCCAAGUCUAUGGCUUGUUUUUAACCAGAUUUUAAAAAUUAAGCUUUAAUUUUGGCAUCAUUUAAAAAUUACAAGCAAAUUUAUAAUUUUUUUUAUUUUUUUUUAUGAUUCAUGUGUUUUCUACCUUGUUUUAAGAAAUUCUGCUUAGGGUCACCUGGGUGGCUCAGUGGGUUAAGCAUCUGACUUCGGCUCGCUCAGGUCAUGAUCUUGCAGUUCGUGAGCUCAAGCCCCGCAUUGGGCUCUAUGCUGACAGCUCGGAGUCUGGAGCCUACUUCAGAUUUUGUGUCUCCCUCUCUCUCUCUCUGCCCCUCCCCCGCUCACCCUCUGUCUCCCUCUAUCAAAAAAUAAGCAUAAAAAAACUUUAAAUUAAAAAAAGAGAAAUUCUGCUUAACUCAAGGUCAUCGCAAUUAUCUGUAUAUUUCAUUCUAAUAGUAUAAAAGUUGUGCUCCACAUAUUUUGAUCUUUAUUCUUUCUAUAACUUAUCUGUGCAUAGGGUGUUAGGUAGUAAAAAUCUAAUUUUACUUAUUUAUAUCUAGAAGCCAAUUUUUCCAAUACUGUCUUUUUUUACAAUGGAAAUGGCUUUCUGAUUACCUAAACAACUCAUGAUCACUGUGAAAAUUCGAAUAAUUAUUUGACAUAUGAAGAAAUACAUUAAAAGUCACCUGAGAGCCUGUUGCCCUAAGGUAGUCAUCAUUGAUAUUUUCAACAUCUUUAAUCAACAGUCUGUCCUCUCCUCCACUUGAUUAUGGUACCACCUCAGUCAUACAGAAAGAGGUCUUUUCUAGGAUUCAGGCAAACUUAGAGAAUUAACACUAGAUCUGGAUAUAAUUUGUAGAAUUUGAAGUAUCCGUGUAAAGGGUUUUCAAGUUAGAGUAUAUCACAUGAUUGCCUGAUUUCAUUAAGCAGCGUAAAUAAGUAAACAGAAUAAGUAGGAGCAGCACAUGAAAAGUAAGAAUUUUCCAGUGACAACCAGCUCUUCUAUGGUUUGAGGACAUAUGAGAACAAAGACUACAAAUUUAUGAAGCAAAUGCGUAAUUUUUCUUAGUAUCAUGCCCAGUAUACAAGGUUCAUCUUGCUAAAUAUUUUCAAAUUAAGACCAUUAGUACUUCUUCUAAUAAAUAAUUUAUCUUAAAUGUUGUCACAGAAGUAGACAAGGAAAAACAGAGCCAGUUCCUAGAAAAGCACUGUCUAACUUGGAUAGAAUGUGAAAAUUUGCAUCAGUCCAUCUUGGAAGCUCUAGGGUGUAAAAGGUGAAAUGAAAUGGAGUACCUUGUGUCAAAGGGUUUAAAAUGGAGCCAGGAGGCCAUAAAGGAGGUAGGCCUUGUGCACGUCUUCAUCCUCACCGGUGGAGCCGUGAACUUUUGAGCUGGGCCAAACUGCAAAUAUUCUGAGGACCCAGCUGGAAAACCUACAACCUGCUGCAGUAACAGACUUUUGCUUAGUGGUAGUCUUAGCAACCAAUUCUGUUCAGCCUCGAUUCAUGUUCUACAACCGACGCCAAUCAAAAUUCUUUGUAAACAACUUAUGCAAACAUUCCCUUUCCUCUUUAAAAACACUUGACUUUUGUUCUCCGACAGGAUGCUAUUUGGCUUGCUGCCCAAAUCUGUGUUCCCCAAAUUGCAAUUGUGAGACCCCAAAGAAAUGUUUUGUUCUAUUUUAGCUCUGCCUGGUUUUUUUUUUUUUUUGGUUGACAAUGAAAAGUUAUUUAUCAUAUUUCAGUACCACCAAGAAAUAGAAGACCGUAUCCUUCCUCUGCAUACACAAAUAUCACCCUUCAGUAUCUUAAUAUUUUCUAUUCUUCACAAAAUUUGUAAGUAAAUUCUUUGAGGCACACAUUAAAAAUACAUUUGAUGUUUUAAUUAAAAAUAAGCAGAACCACGUAUAGGCCAUGUCUAUCAGCAUGUAGGAUGAGAGUCUGUUUUUUGACCUUGUGCCCACAUUGAUGUCUAAUGAACACUGAUGAAGUUAUUCAGUUUUUAUGUAGGCAUCCUCUGGUAUAUAUGGCAUGGGUUUUUGAAAACGUAUUCAGACAUUACUCAUUUCUGUUCCAAAGGGAUUUGAAAUGUUUUAAGUGAUAAGAAUAUGCAGUGUAGAGUUCAGUUAUAAAUUGCAGUACUAUAUGAAGAGAGUUGGAAGAGCUACAUAAGGAUUAAGUCCCUCUUCCCAAAUAUAGCCAUGUAGAUACAUCUGUUCUAACUUUACCUCGUCUCCAUUCUACAGCUUUCUCUUUUGCCACAUUCUAAAACCAAAUUGUCAGAAAAGAAAGCAACAAGCCAAAGUAUAGCUAGUGUGUUAGCCCAGGACUGGAUUCCCGGUACUUGUGAUUUCUGAGUGUGUGCAGACCUGGGUGAAUCAGAACGACUUCUUUUCAAGCAUGUGUGAUUUAUCCAGACACUGACCAGCUCCAAGUUCUUCCUGCCCACGUGCUUCCUGCUCCAUCAAAAUUAACCCAGGCUGCCAAACUGCUCUACUGCUCCAAUGCUUUGAAUUUCGAAACCUGUUUUCCUUGAGGACACUCCUAAGAAGAAAAGAGGAAAUUGCCUAUGUGCGUGUUUCUGAGACAACUUCAAGGGGUUUUUAGCAAGCAAAAAAAUUUCCAGUGUGCAGGUUUUUUUUUCUUCUUUUUUUCUUCUUCUGAUCUCAUCUGAAAGACACUGUGGUUUUCAGCUAGCUUGGUGCUGUUACUACAGUCAUUUUACCUGACCUCUUUUUUUUCAACAGGCGUAAGACAAGGCUGAGCUCAUACUUUCAUGAAAGCCACUCUGCCAUCUAAGCAGAACUAACACUGUUAGAAGAGCAUGCAAAUUGUAAUUAAAAAAAAAAAUCCAUAAGCCAGCAGUUUCUUUUGACCACAGUGGUUUUUUUUCCUCCUGCUCAUUCUGCUGAAACAGCAGCAUUGGGGUACAUUGCAAGGCUUCAGCUUUCUGCUCUAAUUUGCUGUUCUUCUGAUGAGAAUUGUGCGUUUGAGGAUGUUUUGUCUCAUGUGUGCGACGUGUUGCACACCCAGCUGGAUUUUAAGUUUCUGAAGGCAUGGACCCCUCCUUUCUUUGCUCAUCUCAUCUCUUCUAGAGGAUCCCAUAUGGUAUUCUAUUGUAGGUGCUCAAUCAUCAUACGUGGAGUGAAUGUGUGAUUGAACAAAUGAGUGACUGAACAGAUACUUCCUGUCUCUCAUUUUCUCAACUAAACUGGGCAAACUGGAUAGGAUCCAUUUCAGUCCUAGAGGAGGAUCUGUGGCAACGCAGAAAUGAGAUGAGAAUCCAAGGGCAUGUGGCAGGAGCUGAAGUGUUCAACAAUUCCACAGUGAAGGUGGUUUAGACCUAUGUGGAUGGAUGUCAUAGGGUAUAAUGAGGUGUUUGCAUGGAUGUACAUGUGAUAGGUAUUAUGUUUUUAGUUUCACGCAUUCAUGUAAUUAUGUAUUUUUAUCGGUUGUAUGUUAUCUACGUGUGUAUGACUUACAUAUAAACACAUAUGAGACAAGUAUGUGUGUGUGUUUGUGUGCAUGUAUACAGUUGCCCCUUGAACACCACCAGUGUGAACCACGAGUCCACUUAUACACAGAUCUUUUCUGAUAAAGACAGUACAGUACUGUAAAUGUAUUUUCUCUUGCUUAUGAUUUUUCAAAAGAAGAAACACUUUCUUUUCCCUAGCUUGCUUCAUUGUAUGAAUACAGUACAUACAAUAUACAACACACAAAAUAUGUGUUAAUCAACUGUUUAUGUAUUUGGUAAGGCUUCUGGUCAGCAGUAGACUACUGGUAGUUAAGUUCUAGGGGAGUCAAAAGUUAUACAGACUUUUGACUGUGCCAGGGAGUGGGCGCACCUAUCCCCUGUGUUGUGCCAGGGUCAGCUGUAUGUCCAUUAAAGAAUUUGCACUGAGAUCCUCUUAGAGAACCACCUUUGUUUGGAAAAAUACCAUGAUUAUCCACUUAUGGUUGGAAAGUAAGGCCCUGGGGCUACAGAUAGAAGAAUAUAUGGAAAUAAAGUCACAGCUAAACCAAUCUGAAUCUAAUCAUCAAGAGGAAUUUGGGAGUUGAGAGAGUACAAGGGAGAGAUUGAAGAGAGAUGGGACUCCACAGGGCUUUGCUUAGGAAGGUCGUCAUAGGGGAAAUUAAAGAAAAGAGGCUGAAUUCCUUGUCGGGGUUGGCCCAGAGCAGGAAAAAAGAAGUGGACCCCUAGAGAGAUGUGAGUUCAGCUGAAACAGGACUUUGGAACUAGAAGUCAACACAAGCCUGUGCAAUCUCAAUAAUUAAUGAGUAAAUCUGAGGUGAUCAUUAGACUUUUCAUAGAGCUUGGGAGGAAAGCUCAAGCAAAAAAAUUUUAAGUUUAUUUAUUUAUUUUCGGAGAGAGAGAGAGAGAGAGAGAGAGAGAGAGGAAGAAAGAGAAUGAGUGGGGGAGGGGCAGAGAGGGAGGGAGAGAUAGAUUCCCAAGCAGGCUCUGUGCCAUGCAUGCAGACCCCAAUGCACGGGUUCAAACCCAUGAACCCAUGAGAUCAUGACCUGAGCUGAGAUCAAGAGUUGGAUGCUUGACCAACUGAGCCAUCCAGGAGUCCCUAGAAAAUUUUGGUUAAACCUUAAAAACUGUUGGGGCGCCUAGGUGGCUCAGUUGGUUAAGUGUUGGACUUGAGUUGGUCAUGAUCUCACGGCUUGUGGCUUGAGCCCUGCAUUGGGCUCUUUGCUGACAGCUCAGAGCAUAGAGCCUACUUCAGAUUCUGUGUCUCCAUCCCUCUCUCUGCCCCUCUCCUGUUCAUGCUCUGUCUCUCUCUUUCUCUCAAAAACAUUAAAAAAGUUUUUUAAAAAUCUUAAAAACUGUUGUCACCUCAACUUCUAUCUCUGGGUUCCUUAAAACCAGCAUAGGGUGAGCGAUUGAGAAACCCUCUACUCAUUCCAACAAAUCAGUCUCAUGCAUGACCUUCCUGAAGCCCAGAGUUAUAAAGAAGAUCAACAAAUAAAGUCACCCCAUGGUCUCUUUCAGGGGCUGUUAACAACAGGUAUUUGAACUGGUAAGACAAAGUUAGCAACUCCAGUCCUGGUUCGCAACUCCAGUCCUGAUUCUGGUCCCAACUCUAAGCAGAGGUAACCCUGCACCCAGAGAGUCCCUGAUUCAGCCUAUUCUCACUCUAGCCAUGCAGUGAGGACAGGACACCAAUGGGGCAAACUGAAAAUGUGGCAGGUUAGUCAUAAUAUUUACAACCUGGCUCUAGAGUCUUUUGACCUGGUUUCCCAGGCCUAUAUUAGCCACUGUAUUAAAAUACCGAGGUAAUUUUCACACUUGUAUGAUAUGGAUGGUUAUUGUUCCUGUUUUACAAAUAGGAGGACUGUGACAUAAGCUUGCUCAGCACCAGCCGAGCAAGCUUCUGAGUGAGGAAUUAUGAUUUCCAGGGUUGGGCUUGGUUCACUGGACACCAUUGUCCUUCUCUACAAAAGGUUUAUUGUGAAAUGUUUACAAAAGCACUUUUAGGAAGAGUUCAGUGUCUAUUUCUGUCUUGGUGAAAAUGUGGGUGAAUGUAUAGGAGUGCUACAGAGCCCCCUCGCAGAGGGAGAAGGGCAUUCACUCUUGCUGUGUUCUUACCAUGAGCCCCGCGUUAGGAUUCCUUACCUAUAUUGUCUGCACUUUUCUGAAAGAUAAGGCAGCAGGGACAAACUUUCUGGAGUGAUGUAACGUUCUAUAACUUAACAGCAUGGAUACACAAGGGAAUGCGUUUGUCAAAAGGCAUCCACUGGCACAUUUAAGAUUUAAACCUUUCAAGGGCCCCUAGGUGGCUCAGUCCGUUGAGUGUCCAACUCUUGAUCUUGGCUCACAUCUUGAUCUCAGGGUCUUGAUCAGUGUCGUGAGUCUGAACCCUGCGCUGGGCAUGAAGCCUACUUUAAAAAAAAAGGUUUAAACCUUUCAUUCUUUUAACACAUCAAAAGAAAUAGAGCCCUAAACAGAUAUCGAACUCUUAUUAAUGACAUACAGGCUAGACUGUUUGGCCAUGACAUGUUCUGAUGUCUAAAACUCACUUUGAAAUGCAUCCAAAAAAUAAGAUGAAUUAGUGGGUGGAUAGAGGGAUGAUUCAGUGGACAGAUAUGUGGUAAAGCAGGUAGAACACAAUGUUAAGUGUAGAAUCUAGCUGAUAGAUACACAAGUGUUCAUUGUAUAAUUCUUUCAACUUCUCUGUAUGGUUGUAAUUUUUCAUAAUUAAAUGUUAGGGGAAAAAAGGUGGAGCUGACAGUUCAUACCAAUUUUGGAUGCUACAGAAAAGUCCAGAAAUAUGGAUGCUCAGAAAUAAAAUAUUCCGGUUAGGCUAGUUUUAGAGCUAUGUGGGGGAAAGGCCCUCCUUGAAAAUAUAGAAGGAUACCAGCUCCUUGUAGUUGAAAUUGCAUUUCUACUAUGCACUGCUCUUCUCUGUGAACUGCCAUUGGGUGCGUUCUCAAGACACAGGUUAUGGUCCUUACCUUGAUGGCCUCUCCACGGCAUUUGGCAUCACUGGCCACUUCCUCCUCAAAACACCCUCCUGGUUUCUCUCCCACUUCUCUGCUGGCUCCUUCACAGGCUCCUUUAACUACUUUUUAACAUAGGUGUUUCUUUGGGGUGAGUUCUGGGCCUUCCUUUCUUUUCCUUGCAGUCUUUCUCCCAAGAGGGUCUCUCUGGGUUUUGGUACCAUCUCAGAGAUGACAUCUACCAAAGCCGUAACUCCAGACUAAUCUUCUCUUUUCAACAAGGGACUCUUAAAGCCAGUUGCCUCCUUGAUAUCUCCACUUGAAUGUCCCCAUGAACUCUUCUCUAAAAAAUGCACACCCUUGGGUGACUGAGUGGCUCAGUCGGUUAAGCACCCGACUUCAGCUCAGGCUGUGAUCUCACAGUUCAUGGGUUCGGGCCCCAUGUUGGGCUCUGCGCUGACAGCUCAGAGCCUGGAGCCUGCUUUGGAUUCUGUAUCUCCCCCUCUCUCUGCCCCUCCCCUGCUUGCAUGCUGUCUCUCUCAAAAAUGAAUAAACAUAAAAAAAAAAUUUUUUUUUUAAAUGCACAUCCUUUCCACACUAUUCGAUCCUCAGCUACAGUGUUUCUCUUUCUCUUGACCUUCCUGCGCAUCCCCCUUCCGCCCUGCCCACUGCAGUGACCGUCAUCUGCCCUGCCAGCUGGUCCAAGACCCUCACUCCAUUCUCAUUGGAUCAAAGCCACCAAUGUCAUCUCUUAAAAACACAAAUCUGAUUAUGUCUCUUCUCUACUUAAAAAACCUCAUUAAUGGCUUACCACUGCUGUUAGGCUAAAAUACACAAUUCCUCAUAUGGACAACAAGGUCCCAAUGUUGGGGCCUCUGCCUGCCUCUCUGUCCUGUCUCCCAUCACCUCCCCUUGGCUCAGUCGACUGGGGUCACAUGAGCUUUGGGUCCUCUAGCAAGCUGAGUAUUUUCCUACCCCAUGGCCUUUGUAGAGGGCACUCCCUCUUCUUGGAAUGUUUCCUACAAUCUUUCCUGGUAAAUCCCUACUCAUUGUUUAGGUCUUAGCUGAAAUAAUGCUCUUUGAGAGAAACUUCCUGACACAUCCCCCCCCCCAUCUAAAUUAUGCCUUAUUCUCUUGUUGUCUGUCAUAAAGCUUUCACUUUUUGUCUCACAGUAGAAUUAGUGAUUAUAUGUUUGUGUGUGUACUUAUUUGCUGAUGUCUGUCUCCCCUGCUAGACUUCAAACUCUGUGUGGGCAGGGACCGUGUCUGCUGUGCUCAUCUCUGUGUCCCCGGCCCUAUCAUGAGUCCUGGGCACUGGGGAGGUGAGCAACACCCACUUAUCAGUUCAGUGAACACACAGGUGUGCCUCACAGAGUUACAGUUUGAACAGUCGUGUAUAAUGGCAUAAAUCAACGGGGCAUCAGGAUUCAGCAUCAUUAGGACGUGUGCAGCCCUCCCCACAGGCGUCACCAAGAACCCAUUCAACGCGGGGCGUGAGGAUGACUGGAACACACAGUCUGUUCUGAGUCAUUCCUGUCUUGCCUCCUGACUCACUCCCUGCAUGCGGGUAAAGGAAAAGCAAGAAAGAGCAAUGCUUUAAGUGCCUGUUAAAAAGACUUCCUCUUCCUCUUCCUCAUGUGGGAAGCGUUUGUGGGCAUAGUCUUCAAGCCCACAAAAAUGAAAGGCAAGUAACUUGAACUCAGAAGCACAUGGUUGGCUGUUCCUGGCUCUGUCGCUUAUUAGAUAUAGGACCUCGUAUGGAGAAUUUAUAUCUUAGAAACUUGAUAUGCCCCACCUAUGUCAUACAGCUAUUAGUUAAUGGGUUAAUGUAAAUGAAAGUGUUUCUCCCAUCUCUGCCUGUAGACUAUCGCAAGCAUAGGGCUUACUCUGCAGCUUGAAAGACAAUAAAAUAGUAGAGACUGAUUUUGCUGUUUUUAACAACUGACCGCUCUGCUACCAGUUUCUUACUAAAUGUUUUACAAUUAGAAUAAUGAACAACUUGAUAUUCUUUCCACUUUCAAUACUUAAUUGUAGGUGGGACAUGGUGGACACGACCUAAAUUCAGAAAUAUCAUUUCCUAAAUCAGCAAUCCACGGUCGGGAUUAACUUAUGAAGCGCUUAAAUUGUGCGAGCAUCCGACCCAUCUAUUGGUAAUACCUUUCUGGGUGAUGCUGUACUAAAAUCUAUGUUUUUCCUCAUAGCUGCCUAUUAUUUUAAUGACAAAAACAUCUUUAUUUCCCCAGUUGUAAAAAUAAAAUGCAUUCAUAAAAAUGCAAAUGAUAUAUAACUAUAAUAAGUAGCAAGAGAAAAUCAUUUAUAAAUAUCUUCUCUUUACUUACAUCAAAAAGACUAUAAAAAUAAGUAAGACCACCAAGUAAAUGUAAACAAGUCAUAUACACAGGCAGCACUUGAUGAGAAUUUUAAAAAUCUCUCAUACAUGGGAUUAUUUCAAAAGACUACUUCUACCUUGCAAAAAGCACACAUUUUUGUUUAUGAUACAUUUUUCAACUUACUGGCUACUAGUUCUUUCAAGGAAAAUGGCUUGCCGAUGUAUAUUUGAGAAGACCAUCCUUUUCAGUUGGACAGUAAGAACGAAAAUAUCCAUUAAAUAUUUCCAGUGACUUUACCAUAUGUAGAACAACUAAGAGAUAGAGAAAUUGUCAGCAAGGAAAGUGAUGUGAGGACCCAUGGUAUUUCUUAAAUGUCACAUGGAAGAGGCAAGGAAUGCAAGCUUAAUGGCAUAUGCUACGUUUGCAGAUCAUUAAUAAGUACAGACAUUAUGAUGGCUUUGACUUCAUACAGCAGCAGUUCAUCUAUACAGCCACAAGGAAGUAGCCACGGAUAUUACUAAUUUAAUUUCAAUUAAUUAAUUUGGAUAUUGCUAAUUGUAAAUGCUAGCCUGUCAUCAAGAAGGAUGCUAAAAUCUGGGAGGUUCCAAGAAAAGGCAGAAACACAACAGGAGCACUGAGUAAACUUUCAGGCUGAAUUCAAGUGAAUUGCUGGGCGACCGUGGGUUUCUAAAUUCUUUUGCAGCAUACAUCAACCCGCAGGUCAGCGUAAACAAGGCUAAGGUAGGGGCUACGCCUGUUCUAUAUCGCCAUCUAGCGGAUAGUGAUACCCAUGCUCUUUCGGUGCGUUUGCUUCCGAGGUAGACUUGCCCUAGUUUUAGCAAGCGAGCUGAUGAAUAUCAUUUGAGACACAGAAGAUGAACUAACCUUUGAGUUUUGGUUUCCUUUGGACUUUAAAAUGUCUGUUUCGGGGCGCCUGGGUGGCUCAGUCGGUUGAGCGUCCGACUUCGGCUCAGGUCAUGAUCUCACGGCUCGUGAAAGCUUCGGUUACACAAGACGAAUGCAUUCUAGACAUCUGAACAACACUGUGUCUACAGUUAACACUGUAUUGUGCACUUAAUUGGUUUAGAGGGUAGAUCUCAUGUUAAAUGUUUUUACCACAUUGUUUUGAAAAAAGAAUCAUGAGGAAGACCGUGAACAAAAGAAAACAGUAAGAGAGAAAAGAAAGACUAGAAUCGAAAAUGUCAGAGUGCUUCUCACGUGUAUAAGUAUUAUUCUGUGAACCUUCUGUUACACACACGUGUGUUUGUGGGUACUAGGGUGUAACGUAAAGGGCUUUUCAUUCUGUGGGUCGAGUUCAAAGAAGUUCAAAAGCCACUGUUGUACUCUCAGAAAAAAAAAAAAUUCAGACUAAAGCUAAAACUGAUAUUGUGUUUCGAGGGAAUUUGGUUUCCUUGUAUGUAGACAUGCUUCUCUAUCCCUAAACAAGGCAGUUUAAGAUCCUUGAGGCAGUACGUGGGGUAACUUAGAGACACAUGAAUUGUGGACUCAGUCUAUGCUUUCUCUUCUAUGUAAAAAUAAGGUAGGACUGAUCUGGGAGCUUCAUUAUACUGAGCACAGCCUUUGAAGCAGGACAAACCUGGUGUCGAAUUCUGAUAACAGAAACUUCUAGCUAUAUGUUAGACUUUGUGAAUGUCAGCAUCCUGGUCUGGAAAUGAAGCUGAUAAUUCUUCCUUCGUAAAGCUGUUGUGAGAAACUGAUGGUAAUGUAGACAAUGAGUCACCAAUUUGCUGAUAACAUUUGAAAUAGUUCUUGUCUUCCUUUAUUGCCCUAGAUUUCUAUAUCUUAGAAUUGCAAAUUUCUCUAAAUCAAUUUGAUUUAUUUAUUUAUUUAUUUAUUUAUUUAUUUAUAUUUAUUUUUAAUUUUUUUAACGUUUAUUUAUUUUUGAGACAGAGACAGAGCAUGAACAGGGGAGGGGCAGAGAGAAAGGGAGACACAGAAUCCGAAACAGGCUCCAGGCUCUGAGCUGUCAGCACAGAGCCUGAUGCAAGGCUCGAACUCACAGACCGUGAGAUCAUGACCUGAGCCGAAGUCGGAUGCUUAACCGACUGAGCCACCCAGGCGCCCCUAUUUAUUAUUUUUAAUCUUUAUUUUUGAGAGAGAGAGAGAGAGAGAGAGAGAGACAGAGCGUGAGGAGGGGAGGGGCAGAGAGGGAGACACAGAAUCGGAAGCAGGCUUCAGGCUCUGAGCUGUCAACACAGGCUCUGAGCCCACGUGGGGCUCAAAUUCACGGACUGUGAGAUCAUGACCUGACCUGAAGUUGGACACCCAACUGACUGAGCCACCUAGGCGCCCCAGUAUUUGUUUAUUUUUAAAUGUUUAUUUAUUUUUGAGAGAGAUGGAGACAGAGACAGAGAAUCUGAAGCAGAGCCCAAUGUGGGGCUUGAUCUCACAAACCGUGAUAUCAUGAACCGAGCUGAAGUUGGACGCUGCUUAACUGCUCAACUGGUGGAGCCACCCAGAUGCCCCAUCCCUUAAUCAACUUAAAACCUACAAUCGAGCUGGAACUCCAGUAAGAGUUUUUUCUUCCUCUUCAGGGAGGUCCAGUGAAAGCCUUAACACUAUACUCUCUUAUUCUGCUUAUGAUUAUGUUUAAUUCAUUGUGAAUCUCAGUGGGAGUGUAUUUCUCGUUUCUGCAGUGGCUUUUUAUUUUACCGAUUUCCUUCUCAAAGUGGGACACCAUCCUUGGGGACUUGUUACCCAAACAUAACGACAGUGUUUUGUGUGAGCAGAGCAGGUGCUGGAGGAAGAGAGAGGACCCAGCUCCAUUCCUUUUACUGAGAAAUCAACAUAUAACAUUAUAUUAGUUUCAGUGUAUAACGUGAUUCAAUAGUUGUAUGUACUGUAAGGUGAUCACCACAACAAUUCUAGUCAAUAUCCAUCCCCAUAGAUAGUUACAUUUUUUCCUUGUGAUGAGAAUUUUUAAGAUGUAUUCUCUUAGCAACUUUCAAACCUACAAUCCAGUAUUGUCAGCCACAGUCACCAUGCUGUACAUUACAUCACUAGGACUUACUUCAUAACUGGGAUUUUGUACCUUUUGAACUCCUUCACUCAUUUUGUCUACCCCCACCUCCUGCCCCUGGCAACCACCAAUCUGUUCUCUGUAUCUAUGAGUUCAGCUUUAUUUAAAAAAAUUUUUUUUAAUUUAAAUUUUAGUUAACAUAUAGUGCAAUAUUGGUUUCAGGAGUAGAAUUCAGUGGUUCAUCACUUACAUACAACACCCCAUACUCAUCACAACAGGUGCCCUCCUUAAUAUCUAUCACCCAUCUAGCCCAUCUCCCGCCCACUUCCCUCCAUCAACCCUCAGUUUGUUCUCUAUCCUUAAGAGUCUCUUGUGGUUUGUUUCCCUCUCGUCUCUUCCUCGCUCCUCCCAUAUGUUCAUCUAUUUUGUUUCUUAGAUUCCACAUAUGAGUGAAUUCAUAUGGUAUUUGUCUCUCUCUGAUAGAUUUAUUUCACUUAGCAUAAUACAUUCUAACUCCAACCAUGUCAUUGCAAAUGGCAAGAUUUCAUUCUUUUUGAUGGCUGAGUAAUAUUCCAUUGUAUGUAUGUACCACUUCUUCUUUAUCCGUUCAUCAGUCGAUGGACAUUUGGGUUUUCUCCAUAGUUUGCCUAUUGUUGAUAAUGAAUUCAGCUCUAUUUUGUGACCUUUCCCUUCAGCUCAGUCUCUCCCCAGUCUCUCUCUGCUCCUUCCUUUCUUCCCUAACCUGCUGCAGCAAGUUUCCUUAUCCCAGAGGAAAUGGAAUUGACAAACUAUGGCUAACAAUAGAACCUAUCAUGCCUUCUCAAGUGGGUGUCCUGGUGAGGAAAUAAGAAAAUGAAUGUGCAAGCUGUAAGAACAAUGAGGGUUAUACCAACAUCAGAUGUUUUUGCAUUAUGAUGAAUGAAUGGAUAUUCUUGGUAAUGUUGGUGAAGCAUUAACCCAGAGGGUGCCUGGGUCUGCCAUUUGCCAGCUGAGUGGCCUUGGUCAAGUUGUCAAACCUUUUGAAACCUCAGUUUUCUCAUCUCUAAAUUGUGGAAAACAGUCCCUCCCAUCCACAGGGCUCUUUAAGAAUCAACAUAUAGUGCACUUAGACACAUGGGAACAGAUCUUAUCCAUAGUAAAUGAUUGUUAUGGACUGAAUGUUUAUGUUCCCUGAAAUUCAUACAUUGAAGUCUAAUCCCCAGUGUGAUGGAAUUGGGAGGUGGGGCUUUGGGGAGGUGAUUAAGUCAUAAUGGUGGAGCACUUAUGAAUGGGGUUAGUGCCCUUACGAGAAGAGACAUGAGAUUGCCCUCUCUCUCUCCUCACUAGGUGAGGACACCCAAAGAAGGCGGCCAUCUGCAAAUCAAGAAGAGAGUCCCCACCAGACACAGAUCUGUAGAACCUUGAUCUUGGACUUCUGGUCUCCAGAAUUGUGAGGACCAAUGGUUGUUGUUGAAGCCCCCAGCCUAUGGUACUCUUGUUAUAGCAGCUGGAACUGACUAAGACAAUGAUCAAUAAAU
rnacentral:lncRNA from 1 species